GCGCUGUUCAGGGCAGACUUCAUGUUGGCUUUGUACCAGGCACCUUGCGGGGCAACUAAGUGGUCCUCAGUAAGACCCCAGUUUAGCCAUUCCAGCUUGUUUUUGUACUACAUACGUCUGUCUGCGUUCGUGCUAAAGUGACGUCACAUCGCAUUGCAUCCUUGGUAAUUUCAACAUUUUUCAACAUUCAUCCGGCAACUUCUCCCAUUCUCCCUCAAAUAGUUAGUAUGAGUAGUCGAAACCAGACUCGUCAAGACAUUAUGCUACUCACAAAUCAACCUGUUGGAUGGAGAAUUGGACUGUAAAGGAAUAAAAGCCACAAAGUUCUGCUACUGUGACCGGACUCACUCUCUGACAGGAGUUCUGGUGUGGAUGAGGUGCUCCGCUCUCCCCCAACACACCAACUGCAAAACUACAUUACUGGGGCCAGAUUACUCCAUCAUAAUCAUGUGGUGUCCAAUCAUCACAAUUAUUAUGACAGACAAAUGUGCAUCGAUGGCGGCGCAGCUUACAAGGUUUCAGAUCUUCAUUAGACACCACCUCUGAGCACUACGGACAGACAGCGCACCUGCAGUACUGCCACGGCCCACCAGGGGAAUUACUGCUCUAUGGGAUUUAAAUCGUCCGUUUGACGACCCUGCACCACCUGAAGCACCAGUGUUCCAUUGAAUGAAAAAGCACCACAGAUCAUGAUGGAAUGGUUUGGUUGGGGUGUAACCCGCCUCUUGCCCGAAGACAACUGGGAUAGGCUCCUGCAUACCUGCGGCCCUAGUGAGAAUAAGUGGCAUAGAAAAUGGAUGGAUGGAUUCAACCUAGUGACCAUAGGGUAUGAUCUGACGAGUGUAUAAAAAAAAUAAAAGCGAGAGAAAAGGGAUAGCCACAAAGACGUGGAGCAUCAUCGCUUUCUUCUCGGCUUCUCUCACUUCAAAGACGAGAUAUGAAGAAUUUACGGCGGUGAAUCUUUAAAGCACACGUGGGAUGUUCUCAAAUGACGGCGGCGGCUGCUGCUGCUGCUGCUGCUGCUGCAGGGGAGACAGACAGGCAGGCAGCGAGGAGCAACGACGACACGCUCUUCACUUCUUUUAUGCGCAUGUUAAAUGUCAGAAAUAAGGGAGGUGAGCUUACGGACUUAUUUGUGUUUUGACUUUGCACAACUCCGCGCUCCAAACUUUCCAAACUGACCCUCAAUGCACCUCACAUAGAAGUUUAAAAAACUAUGUAGUGUUUUUGUUUGGAAUGGUGAACAUUUCUUGGUAUAUAGCGUGGGAUCGGCAUAAGGAGGACUCCUGUGGCGUCCCCCAGGGGCCUGUUCCUGAGCCCCCUUCCGUACAUUAUGUAGUCACAAUUAUCUUCCUACUCACUUGUGUGGCCGACAAUAACCUGUUGAAAUUAUCUUGUUUUUGUCUCAUGGCGGUUUUCUUUUGCUUUAGGGCAGGGGUCUCAAACUCAAUUUACUUGGGGGCCACUGGAGCUCGGGUCUGGGUGGGACUGGGCUGCAUCAGGUUUUCCAAAAAACAAAAAAAAAAACAAAAAAAAAAAAAACUUUUCUACAAGAAAAGCUCGGAUAAAACAUUCCACUGUUCUCAAAUAUCUUACUUUUUAUUUUUCUACACAAAAUAAGAUGAAAAAUAAAUAAACAAAUCAAGAAUAAAGAAAAUUAAUCAGUAAUAAAUAUAAUAAUAAUAAUAAUAAUAAUACGGCA